UCUCGGCUAGUUGGCUCAGUCGGUAGAGCAUAAAACUAUUAAUCUCGGGGUCGUGGGUUCGAUACCCACGUUGAGAG